rnacentral:rRNA from 1 species
GCGCCAGCAGCCGCGGUAAUACGUAGGGUGCGAGCGUUGUCCGGAAUUACUGGGCGUAAAGAGCGCGCAGGCGGCUGGUCAAGUCCGACGUGAAAUCUCCCGGCUUAACUGGGAGGGGCCAUUGGAAACUGGCUAGCUGGAGUGCAGGAGAGGCUAACGGAAUUCCCGGUGUAGUGGUGAAAUGCGUAGAUAUCGGGAGGAACACCAGUGGCGAAGGCGGUUAGCUGGCCUGUAACUGACACUGAGGCGCGAAGGCUAGGGGAGCGAACAGGAUUAGAUACCCUGGUAGUCCUAGCAGUAAACGAUGGAUACUAGGUGUUGGGGGAAAUUGACCCCCUCAGUGCCGCAGCCAACGCAAUAAGUAUCCCGCCUGGGGAGUACGGCCGCAAGGCUAAAACUCAAAGGAAUUGACGG